AUUUACACAGAAUUGUCUUUCCCAAUCACUGUCUUUGGGAUUAAUUCAACCGUUUGGCUUGGGAUUGUUUUUAAUUGCAGGAACCAUCAGUGUCUGGGCUAGAAACCCCCCCCUUCAAUCCACCCACUCUGUUCCCAUUUCAGAUCCCAGGAAACUUUAACUCUUGCUUCUCCAUGGCCCCAAAACAAGCCACAUGGGCUGGCUCUGUGCUUCCAAGCUGGUGACUCUUCUAUGGACAGACACACAUUCUGAUACUUUGAAAAGGACACCUGAAACUUCUGUGGGAUCUUUCCAACAAGAAGGCGUAGUUCAGCCCUGGCACAGGCUGCCCAAGGCAAUGGUGGAGCCAUCAUCCCUGGGAGUGUUCAAAAGCAGUGUGGAUGUGACACCUGGGGACAGGGUUUAGUGGUGAGUGUGGUGGUGCUGGGCUGAUGGUUGGACUUAUCUUAAAGAUCUUUUUUCCCACCUUAACAAUUCUGUGACUCUAUCAGCAACCUGCCCAAGAGAUGGGACACCCUGGCAGCCUCUCCCCCUUGGUGGGGACACAGGAGAGGAUUCUGCAACAAGAUUGAACUGCUUUCCACAAAUUUCCCUCCACGUUUCCCUCUGCCAGGCUCCAGAUGUCCAGAUCCAAAUCUCAGACUGGAGCCCCCAACUGAACCCCCAGAGCACCUCCGCUGUGAGAAGUGGAAAGGGCAGAGCACAAAACUUCAGGCUGGGGCUUGAGGCAGACUAGAAGAACUUCUUCUUUGUGAGAAACAUUUAAUUCAACACCAUGACUUACAAGAGGACAGAUUUACAGAGUAGUAACUGUAACAGACUGUUCAGAAAGGAAAAUAAUGGUCGCUGCCUGCAGUGCCAGGUAAAGCUCCCCAAAGCAGCACCUGGCAGAGCAUCAGCAAAGUACAAUUCAGUCUCCUUGCAGUACUCAAAUGAGCAAUAUCAACCAAUUUUGUGUUUUCAAACCUUUAAGAAAAGAGUGAAUAAAGGAUCAAUCACUUUGGCAUGGGCUAUUUUUCAGGGAUCACUAAGCUGCACUACUCCCAAAGGCAAUUUCCUGGCCCCUGGCUGUCCCUGCUAAUCUUUCUCACACAAUAAAGGCUCUGGGAGCUACUUUCUUCCCCAAGUUUUGGGAUACCAACAACUUGUACAAUUGGUUGGUGGCACAAUAUUUAAUGCACCACUUUGUAGUGUUCUCUCAGCUGAGACGUCCACGCACGGUUAUGCAAUGGAUACCCCUAAGACUAAAAUAAUUCUGCAACCCAGUCAACACAUUCCCCAAGCUAUCAACUCUCAUCUUCCUCCCCUCUCCUUGUCUCCCUUCCCAGAGAAAUCCAUUUUUAGCCACAAGUUACCCCAAUAUGCUCAAAGAUGUACUGGAAGAGACUGAGGGAUCAAUCAAGGUACCCAUGGUGAAGCCCAAUACUUAUAAACACAUUAAGGCAGGUUUCACAUAGUCCAAUUGUUGACACAAAAUGCUGGUCAC